GUCUGACGGACACGCCGCGUGAGCGAUGAAGGCCUUCGGGUCGUAAAGCUCUGUUGUUAGGGAAGAACAAGUGCUAGUUGAAUAAGCUGGCACCUUGACGGUACCUAACCAGAAAGCCACGGCUAACUACGUGCCAGCAGCCGCGGUAAUACGUAGGUGGCAAGCGUUAUCCGGAAUUAUUGGGCGUAAAGCGCGCGCAGGUGGUUUCUUAAGUCUGAUGUGAAAGCCCACGGCUCAACCGUGGAGGGUCAUUGGAAACUGGGAGACUUGAGUGCAGAAGAGGAAAGUGGAAUUCCAUGUGUAGCGGUGAAAUGCGUAGAGAUAUGGAGGAACACCAGUGGCGAAGGCGACUUUCUGGUCUGCAACUGACACUGAGGCGCGAAAGCGUGGGGAGCAAACAGGAUUAGAUACCCUGGUAGUCCACGCCGUAAACGAUGAGUGCUAAGUGUUAGAGGGUUUCCGCCCUUUAGUGCUGAAGUUAACGCAUUAAGCACUCCGCC
rnacentral:rRNA from 1 species